AAGGGAGACCUAAUUCGGGUAUAAGACGAAAAAAGAGUAGUCGAAACCAAGAAUCAAUCCCAAAAGGUCGGAACGAGGUAUGUGGCUUUCAAACUAGGUUCUGGGUUCACACAAGACCUGAAUCAGGAACAAGGGCUAUUAGCUCAGGUGGUUAGAGCGCACCCCUGAUAAGGGUGAGGUCCCUGGUUCGAGUCCAGGAUGGCCCACCUGUACAGGUGGCAAAAAGAAAGAAAAGAAGCGAGGAAUCAGCACCUUAUCUUACUGACAUAGUAAGAGAGAAUGCUGGCUCUGAGUAAAGAGUCCAGAGGAACCUUGAAAACUGCAUAGAGCUAGGUGAAAAAGCCAAAAAAGAAGACCGCAA
rnacentral:tRNA from 1 species